rnacentral:rRNA from 1 species
AGUGAACGCUGGCGGCGUGCCUAAUACAUGCAAGUCGAACGGAGUGGCGCACGGGUGAGUAAUAUAUAGCUAAUCUGCCCCUUGCUGGAGGACAACAGUUAGAAAUGACUGCUAAUACUCCAUAGCAAGGGAUGGGACUAUAUCGUAUCAGCUAGUCGGUGGGGUAACGGCGUACCGAGGCUAUGACGCGUAACUGGUCUGAGAGGAUGAUCAGUAACAUUGGAACUGAGACACGAUCCAGACUCCUACGGGAGGCGGCAGUAGGGUGUAUUACGCAAGGGGCGUAACCGUGACACAGCAUCGCCGCGUGAAGGAUGACUCUUUUCGGAGCGUAAACUCCUUUUGUUAGGGAAGCGGUACCUAACGAAUAAGCACCGGCUAACUACGUGCCAGCAGCCGCGGUAAUUC